GGGAGUGGCAAAUCAAAGGCAUUGCAGCCUCUUUCAUCACUGCCGAUUGCUGAUGCCGACCAUGUGCCAAGUGCUUAAUACAUCACCUUAAAUCUUCUCAUCCACCCUCAAAGUAGCAGUCGCAUCAACCCAGUGUCCUGACUUUCAACACAACCAUGAAAACGCCCCAACUGCUGCUAAAUUACCAGCAACAAGGAUCUGACAUUCUUACAAAAAAGAAAGAACACCAAAAUUGACCUUACCCUGACAAUAUGAUGGCUGAAGGAUUUAUGAUCACUUGUAACAUUUGAAAUUGAGGCAGAAUCUCAAGAAUACGACUCUGGUGAAAGGUCCUAUUUAUGCUUUUGAUGUCUUUCAGUUGGACGUUUACCAUAUGCCUAUUGGUAGGUUUUUUACACCAGGACAGUGAAGGUGAUACAGGAAUAAAUAAAACACUAUCCCUAUCCUUUAAUAUCAUUUAUUUAUGGGGUCAAUCAUAGCUUUUCAUUUUUCAUAAUCUUUGAUAAAUGUCAGAAUUAUGUUUUUUAACAUUUUUACAGAAUUAUUACUAUAUAUGAUAGAGGAUGGAAGGCAAGGUAGUAUGAAAUGGAAGAUAUUUUGAAUUAAGAUAUUUGGACCUGGGUUCAUAUUUUUGCUAUGGUCUUUAUUAACUGAGUGACCUUGGGAAAGUUCUUCUACUAAAAAAGAAUAAAGAUACUAAUUGCUUCAUGAAAUUGCUGUGAAAAGCACAUAACAAGUAUAUCCACACUCAACAAUGUAUGCUCAGAAAUGAAGAUCCCUUUUCUCAUACCUGCAAAUAAAGUCUUACAGUAAUACAGUGGGGGUAAAGGUUUAAAUUGGGGGAUUCAAGAAGGUUAUAGAAAGAGGUAGCAUUUUCAUGGGGGAAGGAUAGAGUCCAAGAAAUCAGAUCCAUUUUCUACAAAAAGAAAUAGGAAGACAGAUAAUUCAAGAAGAAAAGUUUACAUGAUUGAAGACCUGAAGUUAGAAAUAGUGAUGUGUCUCAAUAGGAAGUUAGGAAUUGGGGUGGACACAGUUGUUGGAAGAAGGAUGGUUUCAGCAAAAGCCCAAGAGUUAGGUGACAAUUUCAAGGGUUUGUGAAGAUGUAUGAAAAAAACAUUAUAAAGUAGUUAGGAUAUAAGAAAUAGAGAGGAGGGAAUGAAUUAGCAUUUAUUGAGUGUCUUGCAUGUUCCAAGCACUGUACUACUUGCCUUAUAAACCUUUUUUCAAUAAACGCCUACAACAA